UUGUCUCUGGAUACGCUCACAGCUCUAAAAGAACUGAAAAAGCAGGCAUGAAGAUGAAGCUUCCACGGUAUGAUAAGUCUUCACAUGGAGGGCGAGGUGAUAGAGCUGAUCCUUCAGAAUGGCCAGAGGUUGAAGGUCCAUUAACGGUAAAGCUAUGCAAAACCAACAAAUACAUAUAUAUACUUGUGAUGAAAUGCAACUUGGCAGGUUUUUGUGCUUUCUAUAGGUGGUUCCACUUGAAGGCUGGAUGCUUGGCUUUCAACCU